AAUAUUGGUCAAUGGAGGCAACUCUGAACCAGCCAAGUCGCGUGAGGGAUGACUGCCCUACGGGUUGGAAACUUCUUUUUUUAGGGAAUAAGGUUAUCCACGUGUGCCUUUUUGCAUGUACCUUACGAAUAAGGAUCGGCUAACUCCGUGCUAGCAGCCGCGGUAAUUCGGAGGAGCCGAGCGGUAUCCGGAUUUAUUGGGUUGAAAGGAGGCGCAGGCGGAAUAGUAAGUCGGCGGUGAAAGUUUGCAGCUUAACUGUAAAAUUGCCGUUGAAACUGGUUUUCUUGGGUGUAUAUGAAGUAGGCGGAAUUUGUAGUGUAGCGGUGAAAUGCAUAGAUAUUACAAGGAAAUACGAUUGCGAAGGGAGCUUACUAAAAUACAUCUGACGCUCAGGCACGAAGGCGUGGGUAUCAAACC
rnacentral:rRNA from 1 species